rnacentral:rRNA from 1 species
AUUGAACGCUGGCGGCAGGCCUAACACAUGCAAGUCGAGCGGAUGAGGGGAGCUUGCUCUCUGAUUCAGCGGCGGACGGGUGAGUAAUGCCUAGGAAUCUGCCUGGUAGUGGGGGACAACGUUUCGAAAGGAACGCUAAUACCGCAUACGUCCUACGGGAGAAAGCAGGGGACCUUCGGGCCUUGCGCUAUCAGAUGAGCCUAGGUCGGAUUAGCUAGUUGGUGGGGUAAAGGCUCACCAAGGCGACGAUCCGUAACUGGUCUGAGAGGAUGAUCCGUCACACUGGAACUGAGACACGGUCCAGACUACUACGGGAGGCAGCAGUGGGGAAUAUUGGACAAUGGGGGCAACCCUGAUCCAGCGACGCCGCGUGUGUGAAGAAGGCCUGCGGGUUGUAAAGCACUUUUAGUGGGGAUGAAAAGCUCUGGGAUAACACCCCGGGGUCUUGACCUAACCCACAGAAAAAGCACCGGCUAACUCUGUGCCAGCCGCCGCCGUAACAC